rnacentral:rRNA from 1 species
GACGAACGCUGGCGGCGUGCUUAACACAUGCAAGUCGAACGGAAAGGCCCUGCUUUUGUGGGGUGCUCGAGUGGCGAACGGGUGAGUAACACGUGAGUAACCUGCCCUUGACUUUGGGAUAACUUCAGGAAACUGGGGCUAAUACCGGAUAGGAGCUCCUGCUGCAUGGUGGGGGUUGGAAAGUUUCGGCGGUUGGGGAUGGACUCGCGGCUUAUCAGCUUGUUGGUGGGGUAGUGGCUUACCAAGGCUUUGACGGGUAGCCGGCCUGAGAGGGUGACCGGCCACAAUGGGACUGAGAUACGGCCCAGACUCCUACGGGAGGCAGCAGGGGGGAAUAUUGCACAAUGGGCGGGAGGCUGAUGCAGCAACGCCGCGUGCGGGAUGACGGCCUUCGGGUUGUAAACCGCUUUCGCCUGUGACGAAGCGUGAGUGACGGUAAUGGGUAAAGAAGCACCGGCUAACUACGUG